GGCUCAGGAUGAACGCUAGCUACAGGCUUAACACAUGCAAGUCGAGGGGCAUCAGGAAGAAAGCUUGCUUUCUUUGCUGGCGACCGGCGCACGGGUGAGUAACACGUAUCCAACCUGCCCUUUACUCGGGGAUAGCCUUUCGAAAGAAAGAUUAAUACCCGAUAGCAUAAUGAUUCCGCAUGGUUUCAUUAUUAAAGGAUUCCGGUAAAGGAUGGGGAUGCGUUCCAUUAGGUUGUUGGUGAGGUAACGGCUCACCAAGCCUUCGAUGGAUAGGGGUUCUGAGAGGAAGGUCCCCCACAUUGGAACUGAGACACGGUCCAAACUCCUACGGGAGGCAGCAGUGAGGAAUAUUGGUCAAUGGGCGCUAGCCUGAACCAGCCAAGUAGCGUGAAGGAUGAAGGCUCUAUGGGUCGUAAACUUCUUUUAUAUAAGAAUAAAGUGCAGUAUGUAUACUGUUUUGUAUGUAUUAUAUGAAUAAGGAUCGGCUAACUCCGUGCCAGCAGCCGCGGUAAUACGGAGGAUCCGAGCGUUAUCCGGAUUUAUUGGGUUUAAAGGGAGCGUAGGUGGACUGGUAAGUCAGUUGUGAAAGUUUGCGGCUCAACCGUAAAAUUGCAGUUGAUACUGUCAGUCUUGAGUACAGUAGAGGUGGGCGGAAUUCGUGGUGUAGCGGUGAAAUGCUUAGAUAUCACGAAGAACUCCGAUUGCGAAGGCAGCUCACUGGACUGCAACUGACACUGAUGCUCGAAAGUGUGGGUAUCAAACAGGAUUAGAUACCCUGGUAGUUCACACAGUAAACGAUGAAUACUCGCUGUUUGCGAUAUACAGUAAGCGGCCAAGCGAAAGCAUUAAGUAUUCCACCUGGGGAGUACGCCGGCAACGGUGAAACUCAAAGGAAUUGACGGGGGCCCGCACAAGCGGAGGAACAUGUGGUUUAAUUCGAUGAUACGCGAGGAACCUUACCCGGGCUUAAAUUGCAGUGGAAUGAUGUGGAAACAUGUCAGUGAGCAAUCACCGCUGUGAAGGUGCUGCAUGGUUGUCGUCAGCUCGUGCCGUGAGGUGUCGGCUUAAGUGCCAUAACGAGCGCAACCCUUAUCUUUAGUUACUAACAGGUUAUGCUGAGGACUCUGGAGAGACUGCCGUCGUAAGAUGUGAGGAAGGUGGGGAUGACGUCAAAUCAGCACGGCCCUUACGUCCGGGGCUACACACGUGUUACAAUGGGGGGUACAGAAGGCAGCUAGCGGGUGACCGUAUGCUAAUCCCAAAAGCCUCUCUCAGUUCGGAUCGAAGUCUGCAACCCGACUUCGUGAAGCUGGAUUCGCUAGUAAUCGCGCAUCAGCCACGGCGCGGUGAAUACGUUCCCGGGCCUUGUACACACCGCCCGUCAAGCCAUGGGAGCCGGGGGUACCUGAAGUACGUAACCGCAAGGAUCGUCCUAGGGUAAAACUGG
rnacentral:rRNA from 1 species